UACAGAGACUGCAAGCGUUGUUCGGAUUCAUUGGGCGUAAAGGGUCCGCAGGCGGUCGGUUAAGUCCGAUGUGAAAUCUCAUAGCCUAACUAUGAGCGGUCAUUGGAAACUAGCCGGCUCGAGGAGUGGAGAGGAGACUGGAAUGGCUGGUGUAGCGGUGAAAUGCGUAGAGAUCAGCCAGAACACCGGUGGCGAAGGCGGGUCUCUGGACACUUCCUGACGCUCAGGGACGAAAGCCAGGGGAG
rnacentral:rRNA from 1 species